AGUGAACGCUGGCGGCAGGCCUAACACAUGCAAGUCGAGCGGCAGCGGGUCCCCGCGAGGGGAUGCCGGCGAGCGGCGGACGGGUGAGGAACACAUCGGAAUCUGCCUGGUUGUGGGGGAUAACGUAGGGAAACUUACGCUAAUACCGCAUGCGACCCUGAGUCGACGGACUUGGGGUGAAAGUGAGGGACCUUCGGGCCUCACGCGACCAGAUGAGCCGAUGUCGGAUUAGCUAGUUGGCGGGGUAACGGCCCGCCAAGGCGACGAUCCGUAGCUGGUCUGAGAGGAUGAUCAGCCACACUGGGACUGAGACACGGCCCAGACUCCUACGGGAGGCAGCAGUGGG
rnacentral:rRNA from 1 species